CAGUCGCCACGGUAAUACGAAGGGGGCUAGCGUUGCUCGGAAUGACUGGGCGUAAAGGGCGCGUAGGCGGUUCGUACAGUUGGAUGUGAAAUUCCUGGGCUUAACCUGGGGGCUGCAUUCAAUACGUGCGGGCUUGAGUGUGGAAGAGGGUUGUGGAAUUCCCAGUGUAGAGGUGAAAUUCGUAGAUAUUGGGAAGAACACCGGUGGCGAAGGCGGCAACCUGGUCCAUAACUGACGCUGAGGCGCGAAAGCGUGGGGAGCAAAUGGGAUUAGAUACCCCUGUAGUCCCUGUCUCUUAUAA
rnacentral:rRNA from 1 species